rnacentral:tRNA from 1 species
AAAGACUGAAGGCUGUCCCCCUUCUUAGAGUU